rnacentral:misc_RNA from 1 species
UGACCGUUUUGGGUAGAUGGGAGUGAGAUGCCGUAGCUCUGCCAUGCUUGUUCUUGAUUCAUUCGGCGUCUCUUUAUUUUGUUGCUCCCUUGACCGAAGCUGCUCCUUGCCCGGAUGACUGCUUUGGGUUUCUUUGCGUUUGGUUGCAUUUCUUCAUGUUGAGAGGCUGCAUGCAGUUUAAUGGUGAUUGUGAUCCCAGCAGCUUGUGUGUAGAUGAGAGAUCCGUGGUUUCUUUACUACUUGGCAAUCUAUUUUGAGGCGACA